rnacentral:misc_RNA from 1 species
AACCUUAUGGACCUGCGGGCGUAUACCUGCGGAGGGAUCAUUACCGAGUUUACAACUCCCAAACCCCUGUGAACAUACCACUUGUUGCCUCGGCGGAUCAGCCCGCUCCCGGUAAAACGGGACGGCCCGCCAGAGGACCCCUAAACUCUGUUUCUAUAUGUAACUUCUGAGUAAAACCAUAAAUAAAUCAAAACUUUCAACAAUGGAUCU